CGUCCCCGCCCUGCAGCAGCCGCCAGCUGCAAUCAAUCAUCGGCAAUCGUCACACCUGACAGUAAUGACGGAGCUGCCUUCAUAGGCUCGGAAAACCUGCCAUCGCUCGCCGGAUUAUAGUCUUCUGUUCAUGUCACUCUCAGUGAUUCUCCUGGAUCCCCUGUUGUUUUCCCCUUGCCUCCCGGACUGCCUUUUGGAUUCUCGACCUCCCGCUUGGACACGUUUUCCCACGGACUUCCUUUUGGUGGUGGACAGACUUUUGACCUGGUUUUCCUGGAGCUGAUUUUUCGUUGUUACAGAUUUAUUUUCUCCAGUGGCUUUUUGUUAUUAAACAUAGAUUUUUUUACUGAUCUGCAUUUGGAUUAUUUUUGGAGAUCACAACAGAUACCAUAGCCUGUGUUUCCUUAUCUUCAGUGUCUGCCUGCCAUUGGUAUAUUCUUAAAGGGGGAAAGCACUUUUUGGGGAAUUUUGCCCAUUGUUCACAAUUAUCGUAAGAACUUUACGACGAUUGGAUUUUUUUAAUGCAUUCUAAAUAUUAAAUACAUUUGAUCAAAUUUCUGCUUACAAUGGAGCAUUAGGGUUUAUAUACAUGAUGUGUGUAUAUAUGUAAUACAAUGACGGGCACAUUUACAUUAACAUUUUAUGUUGACCUAUUUAGAUCAUAUUGAGCACACAAGGCGAAAUCAUUUCAAAAACGCAUCACAAAAUUUUCUUUGUUUUUCUUCAUCACUUAUUUCUGUUUGCUGAAGACUUGAGAGCUAGCAAACAUGCUACCACAUCACUUACUGUACAAUGUCUGCUGUCCAUUAUGAUUGGGACUGCUAGUUCACAUAUUCCCACUGACAUGAAGAAAAUCUGAAAAAUCCCCGUGGAGAAACAGGGUGCUGAAUGUGGGAGAACAAGUGCUUUUUGUGUCGUUUUCUCCAGUUCCAGGUCUUAAAUGGCUGUCAAAGUAUCCUCAGCCAUCUACUUUUCAUGUGGGAGGCAUGAUUUAUGAUGUAGAAUAAACUUACAGGGAGCAGGGAAGCAAGGAAAUGGCAGACCAGUUGAUGAUGUGAACAUAGGGAGACACGGAAGUGAUCACUGCGCUGCUAAAAAUAGUUGGUCUGCGUUAGCACUUAUAAUAAAAAUAUUAUUAAUACUUGGUUAAUAUUCAAGUCACAAAAUGUAAAUGGGGUAUUGUUGGCACUUUUUAGAUGACUAUUUAAUGGAUUUUAUGGGCAGAAUAGUGGAGCUCCCUUUGGCUAAGCUGUAAGCAGACUUAUUUAAUUUUAGACAGUUUUUUUUUUUUCAUCCACCCGUCGUCAUGUCUUUCAUGAUGAUUGUGGACAAUAGGCAACAUUCCAAAAGAGUUCAGUUUACCUUUAAGCUAAUUAUUGUCAUGUUUUGUUGUCACGUUCUGUUUUGUUUUGGAUUCAUUGGGCUGUUUGUUUUGUCACCGUGCCAACCCAUCAGUUUUCACCUGUUGUGUGUUCACGACUCACGCACCUGAUUUGUCUGGACUCAUGCACCUGUCAUCACUGCACCUAUUUAAGCCUGUAGUUGCCAGGCAGUCAGCCUGGCGACAUCACCUUCUACACAACCUCUACACACCCUUGCUCCAUGCUGAUGAUCCAUACUCAUUUCUCGUUCCCGGUAAGUUUUGUUAUUCAUGCCAUAGUUUGCAAGUUUUGUUUUAUGUCCAUAGUUAAUGUUGUAGUAAUAGUUUUGUUUCAUAGCCAAGUUUUUGUACCUCAUCUGUGAGCGCCUUUCGUUUCUUCCUUUUUUGGAGUUAAGAUUAAAGUAUGUCAUUACCUUCACAUCGUGUCCGGUCCAAACGCUUGGCACCACGGGAAAACAGACCACACCAUAGUCCACAUCUUGACAAUUAUGACAUUUUUAAUGCCUGUCGUUUUUUUUAAACCUUGCAUUACCCUGUGUGUUCCCACCCAUUAAAGCUGCUGGAAAUGUAAA